rnacentral:rRNA from 1 species
AACGAACGCUGGCGGCAGGCCUAACACAUGCAAGUCGAGCGAGACCUUCGGGUCUAGCGGCGGACGGGUGAGUAACGCGUGGGAAUAUGCCCUUCGGUUCGGAAUGGCCCCGGGAAACUGGGAGGUAAUACCGGAUACGGUCUACGGACGAAAGAUUUAUCGCCGAAGGAUUAGCCCGCGUUGGAUUAGGUAGUUGGUGGGGUAAUGGCCUACCAAGCCGACGAUCCAUAGCUGGUUUGAGAGGAUGAUCAGCCACACUGGGACUGAGACACGGCCCAGACUCCUACGGGAGGCAGCAGUGGGGAAUCUUAGACAAUGGGGGAAACCCUGAUCUAGCCAUGCCGCGUGAGCGAUGAAGGCCUUAGGGUUGUAAAGCUCUUUCAGCUGGGAAGAUAAUGACUGUACCAGCAGAAGAAGCCCCGGCUAACUCCGUG